UACGGGGGGGGCAAGCGUUGUUCGGAAUUACUGGGCGUAAAGGGCUCGUAGGCGGCCAACUAAGUCGGACGUGAAAUCCCCAGGCUCAACCUGGGAACUGCGUCUGAUACUGGAUGGCUUGAAUCCGGGAGAGGGAUGCAGAAUUCCAGGUGUAGCGGUGAAAUGCGUAGAUAUCUGGAGGAAUACCGGUGGCGAAGGCGGCAUCCUGGACCAUUACUGACGCUGAGGCGCGAAAGCUAGGGGAGCAAACGGG
rnacentral:rRNA from 1 species